ACAUAAUCCCCUUUGCCAAAAAACCUUAAAACAGAAUAGUUUCCUUUCACUUUGCAGGAUUUCAAUGCAAUUCUAUCAAGUCGGGAAGGCAAAUAACUACUUAAUCCCCCAGCAAAAAGAGCUCCAUCACCUGCAAAAUCUCAACUUUUCUUUUUCAUCUAGGAAUAUGAGUGCUAUAAAAGAGGUUACUGCUGCCAUGAAAAUAGUUGUGGUUACACAUUAUUAAAGAUGAAUACUAAAGAAGUGACUAAAUAAAAAGGCAAGAUAUCGAGGAUGAUUGAUGUCAUCCCAGCAAGGAAGCAGAUGAGGAAAGGCAGAAGAUAAAGUUUUUUUUAUGUCUCUGCUACUAUGUGCUCCUCACCUACACAUGCUGGAAUAAAC
rnacentral:lncRNA from 1 species